rnacentral:rRNA from 1 species
UACAGACGGUCCAAACGUUAUUCGGAAUCACUGGGCUUAAAGAGUUCGUAGGCGGUCAGGAAAGUGGGGUGUGAAAGCCCUCGGCUUAACCGAGGAAUUGCGCUCCAAACUCCCUGACUUGAGGGAGAUAGAGGUGAGCGGAACUUAGGGUGGAGCGGUGAAAUGCGUUGAUAUCCUAAGGAACACCCGUGGCGAAAGCGGCUCACUGGGUCUCUUCUGACGCUGAGGCACGAAAGCUAGGGUAGCGAACGGG